GCUACAACAGACAGAGUGAGGGUCCGCUAUCUGACCUGCUGUCACCAAGGUAACAGUCAGAGGCUGGGAAGGGGGCGGGAGCGGGUGCGGGCGGGGGUCGGGUGGCCCGGACCCCCGCCCUCAGCGGCGCGGCUGCAUCCGCCUGGCCUCUGUCAGGCCUCCGCUUUGAUCGUGCGGCCAUCAACACUUCAUUACUCUGCGGCCCCGUCUCUCUCCCUCGCACACAAAUGGCCUUGUCGCCACGCUGCGGUGGGGGAGUUUAUGGAGCGUAACAUAGAGCGCACUCUGUCUCCUCCCCCCAUCCCCAACACACACACACACACACAGACGAAAACAAUCUCCCUCUUAGGUUUACACAGAUGUGAGCCGAUGACCCCGGAGGACCUCUGCCAAAUACUCGUACACGGGGCCAUCAAAAGUGACUUGUUGCCAAAAUACGGCAGCGCGAUGAGAUGAAGCUACCUUAUACGGCGUCAGCUUGAAACCAGUUGACAUAAGUCGGCGUGCUCCCAUCGCUCAUUUGGAGGAAACCGCAUGGAAAGUUCUCGUGAGUAAAUUGAGAUACUUUUCACAUCAAAACGUGCAAAGAAAAAAAUGGACCGCCGGCUGCCGGAAUCGCAUGGCUGCUUGAGCUUUACGACGUCGAUCAUUUCUUUCGAUUUCCUGCACGAAAUUCAACCACAAUUUGACAGCCG